AGAGCGAACGCUGGCGGCAGGCUUAACACAUGCAAGUCGAGAGGGCGUAGCAAUACGUCAGCGGCAGACGGGUGAGUAACGCGUGGGAACGUACCUUUUGGUUCGGAACAACCCAGGGAAACUUGGGCUAAUACCGGAUAAGCCCUUACGGGGAAAGAUUUAUCGCCGAAAGAUCGGCCCGCGUCUGAUUAGCUAGUUGGUGAGGUAAUGGCUCACCAAGGCGACGAUCAGUAGCUGGUCUGAGAGGAUGAUCAGCCACAUUGGGACUGAGACACGGCCCAAACUCCUACGGGAGGCAGCAGUGGGGAAUAUUGGACAAUGGGCGCAAGCCUGAUCCAGCCAUGCCGCGUGAGUGAUGAAGGCCCUAGGGUUGUAAAGCUCUUUUGUGCGGGAAGAUAAUGACGGUACCGCAAGAAUAAGCCCCGGCUAACUUCGUGCCAGCAGCCGC
rnacentral:rRNA from 1 species